UAUUGACGUGUUUAAAAUGAAAAAUUGGAAGAAUUAGGUAUUAAGAAUGGGGCCAAAAGAAAAUUAAAAACUGUUUGCUGAGCAUAUUGUACAAGUAUUUUUUUUUUAUUAUUAUUAAACAAAUGAUUCUGAAAUUUAAAUAAUCUAUUUUGAUAAGCUUGAUCAGGAUAAAGACCACACCAAAAGGGGAAGAAAAUAUGGAAAUGUGUGUUUGUUGGCUUAAUUUACAAGAAAAAUUAAAAAAUUAACAAAGACGUAUCUCUGAAAUUUGAAUAAUCUAUUCCAUUUGGAUGAAUGCUCAAGAAAAAUAGAAAUAGAAAAUGAUCACCUUUCCACUUACAAGGCAAUGCAAAACACUCAAAAUUCAGAGAACCAUUCUAUUUAACACAUGGGGAGCAAUUCCAAAGUGCACUACUCAACAACACCACCUCUAAGUUUGUAAAUGGUUAUUUUUUGUUAUUGUUGUUGUUGGUAUUUUUUCUUUUAAAGAACUUAAUUGGAUAGUGACACUUAGCAUUGUGAGCUAAUAUAGAUAUAUUAUCAUCUCAGACAGAGAAGAGGGCAUAAGUUAUCUACUUAUAUAUUAAAACCAAGAUUACCAGAAGAGUAAGGUAGUCUGACUUCAGGAUGGUCAACACACCACAUCAUAUGGCAUCCACCAUCUUUAGCAGCAGUUCAUUAAGGGGAUUUUCAAGGUGGGGGGUAGAAGUGCUGUAAAAAUAAGUUAAUAUAAUGAAAUCUUAGGCUUUUAUUUAGAGAGAAACUAGAGGUGAAUACAAUACAGAAUAAUGCAUGUGAAUAUAUGUAAUUACCAAAGAAAUGUUCUGGAAAAUAUGCAACAUAAUCAUGAGAAAAAUUUAUCCCUUUUUUCUUUUAAUCAUAGUACACUACAAAACCAUUUGCAUAGAUGGUAAUAAA